GAGAAACUGGCAUCCAGAGAAGUGAUGUGUUUUGCCACGUCAAGGCUCCUCCUUCUCACUGGAUUCACUUCUUUUCCUACAGAGUUUAAACUCUCUUCCCUCUUCAUCCCAACUUCUUGGCUUCUCUGCCUUUUUUCAUGUGUCAGCAAAAAUCCCACCUUCUUCAAGAGGACUUUUCCAGACCUUCAUUUCAGUACUAAAGAAAAAAAAGUAGCAGCUAAUAAAUAGAUUGAAACUCUUCAAAGACUAUUUAAAGGGAGAAAAAUCACUACUGUUGGCCAAGAACAAGUUCUGAAAUAGGUAUUGAGGACCUGGAAGAGAAAUCAAUUUGGUGAUACAUUUGUACCAGAACACAGUUAAAGGGAAGCCUUUUUCCAGUGUGAAAUAAGCAAACCGAGAAGAAAGACCUAUCCAAGCAGAAAGUGAAUUAAGAUCCUAUUCCAAGUGGCUCACCUCCUUUCUUCAUUUUCCCUAACAAAGUAAAAAAAAAAAGCUUUGUUACCUGAGAAAAAGGUCAUCAGGUCAUCUAUGCCUUCAUCUCAGUCAAAAUCCUGGCAGAUUUUGUUUCCUGACCUCCAGGACACCCUCCUUCCUUUUUUCGAUGAGG
rnacentral:lncRNA from 1 species